rnacentral:rRNA from 1 species
GUGUCAGCAGCCGCGGUAAAACGUAGGAGGCGAGCGUUAUCCGGAUUUACUGGGUGUAAAGCGCGUGCAGGCGGUCGGCGAAGUUGGAUGUGAAAGCUCCUGGCUCAACUGGGAGAGGUCGUUCAAAACUGGUCGACUGGAGAGCAGUAGGGGAAGGUGGAAUUCCGGGUGUAGUGGUGAAAUGCGUAGAUAUCCGGAGGAACACCAGUGGCGAAGGCGGCCUUCUAGACUGUAUCUGACGCUCAGACGCGAAAGCUAGGGUAGCAAACGGGAUUAGAUACCCUUGUAGUCC